rnacentral:rRNA from 1 species
CCUACGGGAGGCAGCAGUGGGGAAUAUUGGACAAUGGGGGGAACCCUGAUCCAGCCAUGCCGCGUGUGUGAAGAAGGCCCUCGGGUUGUAAAGCACUUUCAGUGAGGAAGAACGCCUGGUGGUUAAUACCCAUCAGGAAAGACAUCACCCACAGAAGAAGCACCGGCUAACUCCGUGCCAGCAGCCGCGGUAAUACGGAGGGUGCGAGCGUUAAUCGGAAUUACUGGGCGUAAAGCGCGCGUAGGUGGCUUGAUAAGCCGGUUGUGAAAGCCCCGGGCUCAACCUGGGAACGGCAUUCGGAACUGUCAAGCUAGAGUGCAGGAGAGGAAGGUAGAAUUCCAGGUGUAGCGGUGAAAUGCGUAGAGAUCGGGAGGAAUACCAGUGGCGAAGGCGGCCUUCUGGACUGACACUGACACUGAGGUGCGAAAGCGUGGGUAGCAAACAGGAUUAGAUACCCUGGUAGUC